rnacentral:rRNA from 1 species
GAUGAACGCUGGCGGCGUGCCUAAUACAUGCAAGUCGAGCGAACAGACGAGGAGCUUGCUCCUCUGACGUUAGCGGCGGACGGGUGAGUAACACGUGGAUAACCUACCUAUAAGACUGGGAUAACUUCGGGAAACCGGAGCUAAUACCGGAUAAUAUAUUGAACCGCAUGGUUCAAUAGUGAAAGACGGUUUUGCUGUCACUUAUAGAUGGAUCUGCGCCGCAUUAGCUAGUUGGUAAGGUAACGGCUUACCAAGGCAACGAUGCGUAGCCGACCUGAGAGGGUGAUCGGCCACACUGGAACUGAGACACGGUCCAGACUCCUACGGGAGGCAGCAGUAGGGAAUCUUCCGCAAUGGGCGAAAGCCUGACGGAGCAACGCCGCGUGAGUGAUGAAGGUCUUCGGAUCGUAAAACUCUGUUAUUAGGGAAGAACAAAUGUGUAAGUAACUAUGCACGUCUUGACGGUACCUAAUCAGAAAGCCACGGCUAACUACGUG